UCCAGCCACGUGCCCGCCCGCUGGGUGUUUCAGGCCAGUGGCCCCGUCCCUGUCGGACCUCGGCAGGAAGUGGCGGGAGGCAGAGUCCUUGACAAAGAGCGCGUCCUCUGCGAGCAGAGCUAAACCUCCGGGAGGAAGGGGCGCCCGAGCAGUUGUCGGGCGAUGUACCACAUGCUGACAGGGCACCGCGGGGUCUUUCACGGCCGCGCGGCUUUCAUUUGUCGUUAUUCACCGAGGAGCGGCCGCUUUAUCUCCCUCGCAUUAUGUGAGGCCACGCAGCAGACACUUGCUGCCUCCGCCGCGGCUCCCAGAAAAUAUUAAUAUGUAAAUGUCACUCUCCGAAGACCUGGAAUGAAAUGGAAUGACCGGCUGUGAGAUGCGCUGCUGGCAAGAUAAAAAAAGAACACGAAAGGCUGCUCGGCACACAGCCGGCAGAGGACGGAGUCAGCCCCCCACGGAGGCCAAACAUCACCCGGAAUGACAAGAGCCAAGCGCCAAGGCCGGCCCGGUGACCCACGCCCACAAUCCCAGCACUCGGAGGCUGAGGCAGGAGGAUGGCAAGAGGGGGUCCACUGGGCAACUUGGUGGUUUCCUGAGACCCGCCUGGAAAUAAGAAAUGAGUACGUGACAUGAACGGGGCUGGGGAGGAGGCUCAGUUAGAGGGUCCUGGGUUCCAUCCCUAGUACAAAAUGAAGGCGGGGUGAGAGGAGCCCACAGCCUGCCACGGCCAGGGGGAGCUGCAGCCCACGCCGCGCCUGCAGCCGGUGCACAGCACGGGGAGCCUUGGGCGGCACCCGGGCCUCCUCGCUGACAGCCGGGGAAACCGCACGCCGAGCGUCCAGUGACGCCACUCCUGCCCUCGCGCCUGCCUCCUGGGUGAGCAGCCCGCGCGAGGUCACGUGGUCACGUGGGCCCCAGCGUGGACUCAUUGCAGCGCUGCACGGGGACGUGCUCUCUGGGCCCUGCCUUUUCAGAGGGGCGCCCCACACGGGGAGCUGCCCGUCUGCCCUGGGCCAAGGCCUGUACAGCCUCAGUCUCUGUCCUUGCUUCCCGGCCACCCGCUGAGGGACCUCGGCAGUGGGGGUCCUGGGACCCAGCUGCCCCUGACCUGUACACAGGGGCCAAGGGCAGCUCCUGGCCCUUGGACUACACCCGAGGCCAGAGCCUGCCGAUAUCAACUGACUGCUGAAAGCUGGAAGGCGCCAGACAGGGGGGUGCAUGCUGCUGUUCCUGCACCUUGGGAGGCUGAGGCAGGAGGAUCACAAGUUUGCGGCCAGCCUGGGCAACUUAGCAAGACCUUAUCUUAAAAAAAAAUUAAAGAAGGGGGCUGAGAAUGUA